rnacentral:tRNA from 1 species
GGACCUGGGUCAGUAGUAGAGCAUCUGGUUGAUAUGCAGAAGGUCCCAUGUUCAAUUCAUGGCAUCUUCA